GGUCACCCGUGGGAAGUGAACCCACAACCCCACCAUGCUCUACCAACUGAGCCGCACAGGACCACAAGAUCACGGUGAUUAAAAACACAAGACCUAAGCACUAGAGAGUGUUUUCCGUUCUGCAGUGGAACAGUUGAAGACACUUCCUUCCAGCCGGUCCCUCCAGGGACAGGAAGACACAGACAGACGUUCAGGUACAGCACUUAGAGAGGCACAUUAUAUAUAUUAUCCUGGAGAGAUACAGGGAGUGUGCAGCCUUUCGUUCCAGCCCUGUAAUAACACAGCUGAUUCAUCUGGAAACACACACACACACACACACACAUUGACCUCUGCCCGAGUCUGUGUUAUUGUCGUAGUGAUUAAUCUGUAAUCUGAUUGGUUGUUUGUUGUGUUUUGGCAGCCAAUCCCUUGACAGGAAGUCUCAGGGUUGGUGUCACUGAUCGAAGAGACUACAUCCCUUUCCUUUACCUCGUAGUUUAUGUGUUUCCUCCCGUAUGACCAACACACACACACACACACACACACACACACACACACACACACACACACACACACACACCCACACACACAAAUACAGGAACUGCCUCCCACUCGACUCUCUCUCUCUCUCUCUCUCUCUCUCUCUCUCUCUCUCUCUCUCUCUCUCUCUCUCUCUCUCUCUCUCUCUCUCUCUCUCUCUCUCUCUCUCUCUCUCUCUCAUUGUGGCGAGCAGCAGCAGUAGUUGUUUCAUGGAACUCAGUCAGGCAAAUGACCGAUCUCCUCUCUUCCUCCUCUCUUCUCUUCCUCCUCUCUUCUCCUCCUGCUGUUUUCUCUCUGCGAUCGCUCAGAGGUAGUGGAAAAUCUAUCUACUCCGUUUUGACUCCCUCUCCUCCUCUAUUCUCCUCCUCUCUUCUCCUCCUAUCUCCUCUCUCCUCCUCUCGUCCACGUCUCACCCCUUGAGCUGGGGGUUAGCGGGGCUCUGUGUGUGUGUGUGAGGGAGAGAGAGAGAGGGAGAGAGAGGGAGAGAGGGGGGGAGGAACAGGGUUCAGGAUGGAAGCGAUGGCUCUCUAUUCGUUCCGAGCCACGGAGGGUGAUGAGCUCAGUUUCAACAAGGGAGACGUACUGAAGAUUAUCAACAUGGAGGAUGAUCCUAACUGGUACACAGCGGAGCUCAACAACAAGAAAGGAUAUGUUCCCAAAAACUACAUUAACCUCAAACCACACGCGUGGUUCGCUGGCCGUAUAUCCAGGGGGGUCUCAGAGGGCAGAUUGAGACAGAGAGACCGAGGAGCGUUCCUCGUCAGAGAGAGUGAGAGCGCUCCAGGGGAAUUCUCCAUGUCCGUCAGUUAUGGGGACCAUGUGCAGCACUUCAAGGUGCUCCAGGACAGGUCAGGACAGUACUUUGUUUGGGAGGAGAUGUUCUUCUCUCUGAACCAGAUGGUGGAGUUCUAUCAUAGCAACAGCAUCGCCAAGGAGGGAAUCGUCGUCCUACGAGACCCAGAACAAUGUGCCAGGCUCCCCCACCACGCCCACGCUCUGUUUGACUUCACCCCCCACCACCCCUCCCAGCUACGCUUCCUCCGCGGUGAUAUCAUCGACCUGCUCGACUGUUCUGAUUCGCUGCGCUGGAGAGGCCGUUGUCAUGGACGCGUCGGAUUCUUCCCCCCGGAGUAUGUCCAGGCCGUCUACCAAUGACCCCGCCCCCAUCUACAACGGACCCCGCCCCAUCUACAGCGAACCCCACCCCCAUCUACAAUGGACCCCGCCCCCAUCUACAACGGACCCCACCCCCAUCUGCCCCGCCCCAUCUACCAAUGACCCCGCCCCAUCUACAACGAACCCCGCCCCAUCUACCACUGCCCCACCCCCAUCUGCCCCUGCCCCCGCCCCAUCUACAACGAACCCCGCCCCAUCUACCACUGCCCCGCCCCAUAUAUCACUGACUUGUCAAUCAAACUACUGACUGAUAUUAAAAUGAGAGGAGAGACAGAGAGACUGGAGAGAGACUGGAGAGAGACUGGAGAGAGUGGAGAGAGACUGGAGAGAGACUGGAGAGAGACUGGAGAGAGUGGAGAGAGACUGGAGAGAGACUGGAGAGAGUGGAGAGAGACUGGAGAGAGACUGGAGAGAGACUGGAGAGAGACAGCAGCUGGAGAGAGACUGGAGAGAGACUGGAGAAAGACUGGAGAGAGACUGGAGAAAGACUGGAGAGAGACUGGAGAAAGACUGGAGAGAGACUGGAGAGAGACUGGAGAGAGACUGGAGAGAGACUGGAGAGAGACUGGAGAGAGACUGGAGAGAGACAGCAGCUGGAGAGAGACUGGAGAGAGACUGGAGAGAGACUGGAGAGAGACUGGAGAGAGACUGGAGAGAGACAGCAGCUGGAGAAAGACUGGAGAGAGACUGGAGAGAGACUGGAGAGAGACUGGAGAAAGACUGGAGAGAGACUGGAGAGAGACUGGAGAGAGACUGGAGAGAGACUGGAGAGAGACAGCAGCUGGAGAGAGACUGGAGAGAGACUGGAGAGAGACUGGAGAGAGACUGGAGAGAGACUGGAGAGAGACAGCAGCUGGAGAGAGACUGGAGAAAGACUGGAGAGAGACUGGAGAGAGACUGGAGAGAGACUGGAGAGAGACAGGAGAGAGACUGGAGAGAGACUGGAGAGAGACAGGAGAGAGACUGGAGAGAGACUGGAGAGAGACUGGAGAGAGACUGGAGAGAGACUGGAGAGAGACAGCAGCUGGAGAGAGACUGGAGAAAGACUGGAGAGAGACUGGAGAAAGACUGGAGAGAGACUGGAGAAAGACUGGAGAGAGACUGGAGAAAGACUGGAGAGAGACUGGAGAGAGACUGGAGAGAGACUGGAGAGAGACUGGAGAGAGACUGGAGAGAGACAGAGGAAAAAAUGCCAUCAGGGAGACAUGAGAGGACCAGAGAGCAGAGCAACACUGAUGCCACUCACACCACACAUUCCACUAGGACCUGUGUGUGUGUGUGUGUGUGUGUGUGUGUGUGUGUGUGUGUGUGUGUGUGUGUGUGUGUGUGUGUGUGUGUGUGUGUGUGCCCUGUAUUCUCUGUAGCAGUAAGAGAUGACUGUGUUAGUGAGUUAGUGAACAACACACCUGCUGUACCAAACACUGUAAAGGACAACACGGUAACAGCAGUCUGUCAGGACAACACGGUAACAGCAGUCUGUAAAGGACAACACGGUAACAGCAGUCUGUCAGGACAACACGGUAACAGCAGUCUGUAAAGGACAACACGGUAACAGCAGUCUGUCAGGACAACACGGUAACAGCAGUCUGUCAGGACAACACGGUAACAGCAGUCUGUCAGGACAACACGGUAACAGCAGUCUGUUCUGAUGCUCUGCUUGUGUCUAGAACACAUAUAAAUUCCUUUGCGUUUGUACUGAGUGUCUGAAUAUAUGUUUGUCAGUACUAUCCUACGUAUACUAGUAAACACAAACAGGAUAUUGAAUAUGACUGUUGUAUGAAGACUUUGUAGUGAGGACCUGCAGGGAGGGUAAUAUACUACCACAGAGCAAACUGGCCUAUUAUAUUCUGAUACAUCUCUUCAUUUUUAGAAAGAUGGACUGAUUGACUCGACAGCCCUUCACAACAUCGAAGGUUUUCAGAUUUCUAAUUAUUAAACCUAUAAACAUAUCUGUGGUUUAAUUAUUGGUUUGUUUCUGAAAGUUAGCCGGCUAAACUCAUUGAUCCUGCUUUGUAGUGUUACCCACCCCUCCCUCUGAUAUCUGUCGUGAUGGUUAAAACCAUGUGAUUUAAACACAUAUCUUUAUUUCUUUUAACUGUAAUGACAUAUGUUUCAAUAAAGUUAUUUCACCUUUUUUUGCUGUCAGAAACAGGAGAGAA
rnacentral:lncRNA from 1 species